rnacentral:rRNA from 1 species
GGACAAGCCCUGGAAACGGGGUCUAAUACCGGAUACGAGUUCGGGAGGCAUCUCCCGGACUGGAAAGCUCCGGCGGUGAAGGAUGAGCCCGCGGCCUAUCAGCUUGUUGGUGGGGUAAUGGCCUACCAAGGCGACGACGGGUAGCCGGCCUGAGAGGGCGACCGGCCACACUGGGACUGAGACACGGCCCAGACUCCUACGGGAGGCAGCAGUGGGGAAUAUUGCACAAUGGGCGAAAGCCUGAUGCAGCGACGCCGCGUGAGGGAUGACGGCCUUCGGGUUGUAAACCUCUUUCAGCAGGGAAGAAGCGAGAGUGACGGUACCUGCAGAAGAAGCGCCGGCUAACUACGUGCCAGCAGCCGCGGUAAUACGUAGGGCGCAAGCGUUGUCCGGAAUUAUUGGGCGUAAAGAGCUCGUAGGCGGCUUGUCACGUCGGGUGUGAAAGCCCGGGGCUUAACCCCGGGUCUGCAUCCGAUACGGGCAGGCUAGAGUGUGGUAGGGGAGAUCGGAAUUCCUGGUGUAGCGGUGAAAUGCGCAGAUAUCAGGAGGAACACCGGUGGCGAAGGCGGAUCUCUGGGCCAUUACUGACGCUGAGGAGCGAAAGCG